rnacentral:misc_RNA from 1 species
AGACCGCGCACGCGUCAUCCAGCCUGCCGGCGGCAGCACCGUUUGUCGCUCGGCCAAGUCCUCGAUAACCUCCUCUCCUCGGAGUGGGGGCUCGGGGUAAAAGAACCCACGACGCCUAAGGCGUCAAGGAACACUGUGCCUAGCCCGGGGACGCGGACGGCUUGCUGGCCGCCCCCCGUGCUGCAAUGCUAUUUAAUCCACAUGACUCUCGGCAACGGAUAUCUCGGCUCUCGCAUCGAUGAAGAACGUAGCGAAAUGCGAUACCUGGUGUGAAUUGCAGAAUCCCGCGAACCAUCGAGUCUUUGAACGCAAGUUGCGCCCGAGGCCAUUCGGCCGAGGGCACGCCUGCCUGGGCGUCACGCAAAACACGCUCCCACCCCCUCAUCGGGGAGCGGGACGCGGCAUGUGGCCCCCCGUCGCGCAAGGGGCGGUGGGCCGAAGAUAUGGCUGCCGACGUAUCGUGCCGGACACAGCGCGUGGUGGGCGACCUCGCUUUACUUCCGCAGUGCAUCCGGCGCGUAGCCGACGUGAUGGCCUCGAAGGACCCUAUGAACGGUGCGCACGACGCUCCGACC